GGAUUGGUUACAAGACGAUGUACAUGACAUGGAUGUUGACACUGCAACAUUCACAACUCAAACCUCUCUGGAAAACACUCAUUACCAGAGUUGGAGAUUUACUACUAUUUGCUCAUCCUAAUAUUUCUGAUUGAUCAGAAGAGAAACAAUGAGGCAAAAGUUUGUGCCUCAGCAAGCAUCGCUCGACUGAAGAACCUGAAUAGGAGAAUUGUUGAUGUCCCAGUAUCCAGGCUCUACUUCUAUUAUCUCUUUGCUAUGAGCUCAUUGGUGAUCUUGCUGAAAUUAGAGGUAUCUCAUAAAGUGUAGAAAGGUGUGCUUUUGCCAAGUAUUGAAGAAAAAUUAUUGGUGGGAAGAGAUGAAGAAGGAUAUUGCCUUGUAUAUUGAGAGAUGUCACACAUGCCGUUAAGUCAAGGCAGAAUAUCAAAGACCCGCUGACUUUGAUGCAGAUGUGGAGGAAGAGGAGGAGGCAGAGCCCGAGAAGGCGACUCCUCUAGAGUUUUGUCUUGAAGUCUUUGAUGUUUAAAAAUUAUCUCUAUCAGUAUUUAUGGCUUGUAAUGUGGUUUGAAAUAAUAUUUGUGACUUGUAAUAUUUUAUUAUGUAUGCUUUAAUCGGGUUUGUAUUUAAACAAAAAAAUCUGGUACUCAGUUAUAAGACUUU